CAAGUAUUAACACGCAAGGGUCUUUGUCUAAAUGUGUAUAAAAGGUUUGUGAAAUUUGUGUAAGACAGAGUCUUUUGUACCAAGGUACAGGCUCUCCUUUUUCUGCAAAAUAAAGCAUUUUUCCUUA